UGAACGCUGGCGGUAGGCCUAACACAUGCAAGUCGAACGGCAGCACAGUAAGAGCUUGCUCUUACGGGUGGCGAGUGGCGGACGGGUGAGGCAUACAUCGGAAUCUACUUUUUCGUGGGGGAUACCGUAGGGAAACUUACGCUAAUACCGCAUACGACCUACGGGUGAAAGCAGGGGAUCUUCGGACCUUGCGCGAUUGAAUGAGCCGAUGUCGGAUUAGCUAGUUGGCGGGGGAAAGGCUCACCAAGGCGACGAUCCGUAGCUGGUCUGAGAGGAUGAUGGGCCACACUGGAACUGAGCCACGGUCCAGACUCCUACGGGAGGCAGCAGUGGGGAAUAUUGGACAAUGGGCGCAAGCCUGAUCCAGCCAUACCGCGUGGGUGAAGAAGGCCUUCGGGUUGUAAAGCCCUUUUGUUGGGAAAGAAAAUCAGCAGGUUAAUACCCCGCUGUUCUGACGGUACCCAAAGAAUAAGCACCGGCUAACUUCGUG
rnacentral:rRNA from 1 species